CCUUUCGGUUUAAAGUCGCUCUGGAGCUGGUUCCUGCCUUCGGUCCGCUUAGACGCUGCCUUUCGCACCCCUUUCCAGCUUAAAACCUUUCACUGACCUCACUGACCCCUCUCCCCCUCCUGCACCGCAUAAAAUUCCCUCCCAUGAGGUGGAUUUAUUCGCACCACCCCCCCUAGCCUCGCCCCCUCGGCCCCUGAGGUCAGCUCCGGCCACCCCACUCUCGGAGAGGCCGCGUCCUCUCCCCGUCCUGAGACCCGCCCCCGCCCCCACCUCCCCCAGCCCCGCUGUCCUCGAGUCUCCUCAGGCCGGUCCUUCUGCCCGGCAGGCGUUCCCUUCAUAGUGACCUUUCCUCUAAACCCAUGUUGGCAGAGGUGACCUGGGUCAGCCAUGUGACACCCAUGGUCUUUGGUUCCAAAUUCCACCCUCUGGAAAAUAGGCUCUUGCGGGAGAGGGGACUUCUUAUUCAGUCGCCAUCCCUGUAAAUAGUGGGCGAGGGGGCUCAGGAGAAGCAGAGACAGCGACUCCGAGAGAAAUAGAAAGUUGAGAAAAGCAUGAGGGAGAAGCGAUGGCAAUGAAGAGAAUUGGUGGGGAACUUGGAAGAGACACCUUCAUGAAAGAGAAUAAGCCUUGAAGGUAGCGGGUGGGGAAAGAAGUUUAGAGAAAAGCAGGAUCUCCGGAGAAAUGAAGAUUUAUUUUUACCAGAAGAUAACUUCCAUUUGCAAUCCUUCAACCAGAGACAUGGAAUAAGCACGCCAGACCUCCCUGUCCAUCACCAACUCCCGGAGUUCACUCAGACUCAUGUC